rnacentral:rRNA from 1 species
ACGUAGGGGGCAAGCGUUAUCCGGAAUUAUUGGGCGUAAAGAGCGUGUAGGUGGUUUUUUAAGUGUGAGGUGAAAGGCAAUGGCUUAACCAUUGUAAGCCUUGUGAACUGUAGUACUUGAGUGCAGGAGAGGAAAGUGGAAUUCCUGGUGUAGCGGUGAAAUGCGUAGAUAUCAGGAGGAACACCAGUGGCGAAGGCGACUUUCUGGACUGUUACUGACACUGAGGCGCGAAAGCGUGGGGAGCAAACAG